UCUCUCUCUCUCUUUUUUUCUUCUCCUGUCAGUCUUUCGCGCUCGUGCGUCGUUGGCCUCGCUCGUCGCGGAGAACCGGAUCUUUCUGUCGAUUCCAACUUUACUCCCGAAGUUUUUUUUGGUUGAGGAUUCGAGACGAAGAGCGGAUAAACGGAAGGAGCUAAAGGGGAGAAACCUGGAGGAAGUAAAGGGAGGCCAAACGUCGAAGUAACCAUGGAGGUUCCUGGUAUGCAGAGUUCUCAGAUUGAUCCAGAAGAACUUUUCACUAAGUUGGAUCGAAUUGGAAAAGGAUCAUUUGGAGAGGUGUUCAAAGGCAUCGAUAACCGCAGUCAAAGCGUGGUCGCCAUCAAGACGAUUGACCUGGAGGAGGCUGAGGAUGAGAUCGAGGACAUCCAGCAGGAGAUCACGGUGCUCAGUCAGUGCGAUAGUCCGUAUAUCACCAAGUACUUCGGCUCCUACCUGAAGGGCAGCAAACUAUGGAUCAUCAUGGAGUAUCUGGGUGGAGGAUCGGCACUGGACUUGCUGCGGGCGGGGCCCUUUGACGAGUCUCAGAUCGCCACCAUGCUGAAGGAGAUCCUGAAGGGUCUGGACUACCUGCAUUCGGAGAAGAAGAUCCACAGAGACAUCAAAGCUGCAAACGUCCUGCUGUCCGAACACGGUCAGGUGAAGCUGGCGGACUUCGGCGUGGCAGGUCAGCUGACCGACACGCAGAUCAAGAGGGAAACCUUCGUGGGAACGCCGUUCUGGAUGGCGCCUGAAGUCAUCCAGCAGUCUGCCUACGACUCAAAGGCAGACAUUUGGUCUUUGGGCAUCACGGCCAUCGAGCUCGCCAAAGGGGAACCGCCAAACUCAGACAUGCAUCCCAUGCGCGUCCUCUUCCACAUCCCCAAGUCUCCUCCUCCCACGCUGAGCGGAGACUUCUCCAAGAGCUUCAAAGAGUUCACCGAGGCGUGCCUCAACAAAGACCCGGCCUUUCGGCCGACCGCCAAAGAGCUGCUGAAGCACAAGUUCAUCACCAAGCACUGUAAAAAGACGUCUUACCUGAGCGAGCUGAUCGACAGGUACAGGAGGUGGAAGGAGGAAGGUCACAGCGGCAGCAGCUCCGACGACUCAGACAGUGAGUCCAGCAACAAAGAAAACGACAUGCAUCCUGAGUGGUCCUUCACCACCGUCCGGAAGAAGAAGACAGAAGGCAGGAUGGUCCUCAACGGGACGACUCCAGAGCAGCUGAGUAAAUCUGCCAGCCUGAGCACGGUCAUCUCCCCGGUCUUCACUGAGUUGAAGCAGCAACACAAGGAGCAUUCGACGCAACGACUGGCCAUCGAGCAGCUGGAGCACAACAUUCAGCUGGCCGAAGACAUCUGUCCGGGCAUCACAGACAAGAUGGUGACGCACAUCAUCGCCCGGUGCCAGAAAUUCACAACAAACUGAAGACCAGUUGAGAGGAAAAGAAAUUAGGAAGAGACUGUCUUCAUACCGUCGCCCCGCUGGAAAACAGAGGAGAUUUGCUGUGCAUUGAACCCUCUCAACACUCAGACUUAAAUAUUCAGCACACACUAAGAAAGUCAUAUGUACACUAUUUCCUCCUCGCUGCUGGAGGAGGGAACCUUUCUGUUGAAUCCAAAUCAGUCCAAAAAUAAUGUUGUCUUAAUAACAUGACGUGCCUUAACUUCUCCAUCUUCUGUUCAUCCAUUUUUGCGGAAAGGUUUCUUUCUGCUGCAGCAGCUGUAGCCUUUAGUUUGGUGUCAUGACUCGCCCGGAGUCCGUCUGUCUGUUCAGCAGCACUUGAAAUGCUUUCUAUCUCAUAUUUGUGUCGUUUUUGUUUUUACUUUUUACUUCCAGGUCAGGAUGGCCCUUGAAAGGCCAACACAGGGUUCGACUUUGACAUGUGACAGAGGAGAUUCCUCAGUGUUGGCUAAAGAUUAGCGUAGCAGAUAGCUAAAACAGAUGAAGUCUGUCCCUUUAAAACCAGACUGGCCCCGUCGCUAAGGUUUCCCCUUGGAUGAACGACGACGAUCUUGCAGAAAAAUGGAACGUGUGUGGAAAAGAACUCAUUUACCUGUUCAUUUACUUCAUCUUCAGGAUCUUUUAGUUUCUUUUAACAGUGCGGUUAGAGAUGUGAGGGCUGCUUACUUCACUAUUCUCAUUUCUAAAAGCAGAGGUAAUCUUAAAGUGCUAUUCAACACUAUUAGUGAUGUCGUGAUGCCCAAUCUACCUGCUGUCCCCAUCCAUUCAAAUGAUGAUUGUGAUACGUUUUUAUUAUCUUUUAUUGACAAAGUCAGAUCUGUGAGAAGCUCUCUGUGUCACUCAGCUGGUUCUGGUCCUAGUCCACCUCGCCCUGUGAUUUUAGACACGUUCUCACCCGUUUCUCUGCCUGAGCUAGUCAGAUUAGUUGGCACAAUGAAUUCAUCCUGUUGCUCUCUGGACGUGCUGCCAACAUCUCUGCUCAAAGAUGUCUUCCAGUCCAUCGGUCCUUCUGUCCUGUCAAUAAUUAACUCGUCCUUGCUGUCUGGUCAAGUCCCUGAGCACUUUAAGAAAGCUGUCGUCCUUCGUCUCCUUAAAAAACCCGGGCUUGACUCCUCCCUCUUGAGCAGUUACAGACCUAUUUCUAAUCUCCCAUUCAUGUCCAAAAUUUCAGAAAAGGUUGUUGCUAACCAUCUUACAACUGCUUUCCACAGUCAUGGCAUUUUAGAUCAGUUUCAGUCAGGUUUUUGCAGAGCUCUCUCCACUGAAACAGCCCUUCUCAAAGUCACUAAUGACAUCCUGACACAGAGUGAUGCAGGAAAAUGCUGUGCUACUGCUACUGGACUUGACCGCAGCCUUUGACGCUGUCGACCACUAUGUCCUCCUGGACAGGCUAAAAAAUUGGGUUGGGCUAUCUGGUUCCUCAUUAAAAUUGUUCUCCUCUUUUCUGACUGGUA